UACGUAGGGUCCGAGCGUUGUCCGGAAUUACUGGGCGUAAAGAGCUCGUAGGUGGUUUGUCGCGUUGUUCGUGAAAACUCACAGCUCAACUGUGGGCGUGCGGGCGAUACGGGCAGACUGGAGUACUGCAGGGGAGACUGGAAUUCCUGGUGUAGCGGUGGAAUGCGCAGAUAUCAGGAGGAACACCGGUGGCGAAGGCGGUCUCCUGGGGCAUUCUUGACGCUGAGGCGCGAAAGCUGGGGGAGCAAACGGG
rnacentral:rRNA from 1 species